rnacentral:lncRNA from 1 species
GGAAAAGAGAUGAAAAGAGGAGGCACAACUUCUGUAUCCUAAUAUCACAGGUGACAGGAGGAACGCCAAAGCCAGUGGCUUCCCCUGGCCAACAGUGGCAGCUGUCCUGCUCCUCCUCUGCAGCACUCUGGUAGCUUUAGGCAUCAGGAAAUCGUGUCAGUACCAGAAAGAGAUGUGAGUACCAGUGAAUGGAGCCA